ensembl:lncRNA
GGAAACACAGAGAGACUGCGAGACGCCAAGGCCAAACUACAAGGUGCGAAAGGUGAGGGGGGGGGGGGCUGUACUUAAAUUUAGUUAAAGUGUCUGCCUCUCGGACCCAUGGGGAGAGCUGGUUCCACAGUAAAGGAGCCCAGUAACUGAAUGCUCUACUUCCCAGUCUGUUUUUAGAGAUAAUGGGAGUCACUAACAGACCUGCAUUCUGGGAGCCAAUAAAAAUCUUGGAUACGUCAUAAUAAAGCCCUCACAUCGACUGAGUAAAAACUCCCAGGAAAAUCAAGGGGAAAAAUUGCAGUUGGUUCAGACUGGGGGUGGAGCUGUGGAGAAUAUAUGGAAACACAGAGAGACUGCGAGACGCCAAGGCCAAACUACAAGGUGCGAAAGUCUGUUUUUAGAGAUAAUGGGAGUCACUAACAGACCUGCAUUCUGGGAGCCAAUAAAAAUCUUGGAUAAGUCAUAAUAAAGGUAAUGAUUCAUUAUUGUGCAUUUAAAGAUGUAUAUUAUUACAUUGCAGCAUUAUUUGGGGAUGACAAUAC